GACGAACGCUGGCGGCGUGCUUAACACAUGCAAGUCGAACGGAAAGGCCCUGCUUUUGUGGGGUGCUCGAGUGGCGAACGGGUGAGUAACACGUGAGUAACCUGCCCUGGACUUUGGGAUAACUUCAGGAAACUGGGUCUAAUACCGGAUAGGAGCUCCUGCUGCAUGGUGGGGGUUGGAAAGUUUCGGCGGGUGGGGAUGGACUCGCGGCUUAUCAGCUUGUUGGUGGGGUAGUGGCUUACCAAGGCUUUGACGGGUAGCCGGCCUGAGAGGGUGACCGGCCACAUUGGGACUGAGAUACGGCCCAGACUCCUACGGGAGGCAGCAGUGGGGAAUAUUGCACAAUGGGCGGAAGCCUGAUGCAGCAACGCCGCGUGCGGGAUGACGGCCUUCGGGUUGUAAACCGCUUUCGCCUGUGACGAAGCGUGAGUGACGGUAAUGGGUAAAGAAGCACCGGCUAACUACGUG
rnacentral:rRNA from 1 species